GCUGCCUCCAGGUGAGCACUCACCAACUCAGAGUUGUCUCUGCUCUUGGUUGUUGUUUUAUUCUACAUGCUGCUUGUUUAUUUAAACAGUCUAUUUAAUCAGUCUAUGUGUUAGGUUUGUUCAGGCAGCUUAAUUGCUGGAUUUAUUUAGGCAGGGUUCUUGCUGGAUUUAGCUAGGCAGUCUAUGGCUGUGUUUAGCUAGGCAGUCUAUUGCUGGAUUUAUCUAGGCAGUCUAUUGCUGUGUUUAUCUAGGCAGUCUAUUGCUGUGUUUAGCUAGGCAGUCUAUUGCUGUGUUUAGCUAGGCAGUCUAUUGCUGUGUUUAGCUAGGCAGUCUAUUGCUGUGUUUAUCCAAGCAGUCUAUUGCUGUGUUUAUCCAAGCAGUCUAUUGCUGUGUUAUUUCCUAUACCACUUCAUGCUAUGUAGCUGCUGUAUCACUUGUUAACAUCUGUUGCUGUAUUGAGGCUAUUUAUCUGAUAGACUCUGUAUACUGCUCAUUGAUUUAUUGUUAUUCUGGGUUACUUUAUUCUGUUUUCUCACUCUGCUGUAUGGGGAAUGGGUGCCCCUGCUAUGAUGCUUUGGCUCUGCCUGUAAUCUGUUCACCCUCCCCGGGUUCCCC